GGCGAGAUGGCCGAGUGGUCUAAGGCGCCAGACUAAGGUUGUACCACCGAUAUCUGGUCUUCACGGGCGUGGGUUCGAAUCCCACUCUCGUCA